rnacentral:rRNA from 1 species
UACGGAGGGUGCAAGCGUUAUCCGGAUUCACUGGGUUUAAAGGGUGCGUAGGUGGGCUGGUAAGUCAGUGGUGAAAUCUCCAGGCUUAACUUGGAAACUGCCAUUGAUACUAUCAGUCUUGAAUACCGUGGAGGUCAGCGGAAUAUGUCAUGUAGCGGUGAAAUGCUCAGAUAUGACAUAGAACACCAAUUGCGAAGGCAGCUGGCUACACGAAUAUUGACACUGAUGCACGAAAGCGUGGGGAUCAAACAGG